UGGGGAAUAUUGCACAAUGGGCGCAAGCCUGAUGCAGCCAUGCCGCGUGUAUGAAGAAGGCCUUCGGGUUGUAAAGUACUUUCAGCGAGGAGGAAGGCGUUGUGGUUAAUAACCGCAACGAUUGACGUUACUCGCAGAAGAAGCACCGGCUAACUCCGUGCCAGCAGCCGCGGUAAUACGGAGGGGGCAAGCGUUAAUCGGCAUUACUGGGCGUAAAGCGCACGCAGGCGGUCUGUCAAGUCGGAUGUGAAAUCCCCGGGCUCAACCUGGGAACUGCAUCCGAAACUGGCAGGCUAGAGUCUUGUAGAGGGGGGUAGAAUUCCAGGUGUAGCGGUGAAAUGCGUAGAGAUCUGGAGGAAUACCGGUGGCGAAGGCGGCCCCCUGGACAAAGACUGACGCUCAGGUGCGAAAGCGUGGGGAGCAAACA
rnacentral:rRNA from 1 species